GAGUUUGAUCCUGGCUCAGAUUGAACGCUGGCGGUAGGCUUAACACAUGCAAGUCGUGCGAGAAAGUAUCUUCGGAUAUGAUUAGAGCGGCGGACGGGUGAGUAACGCGUAGGAAUCUACCUAGUAGAAGGGGAUAGCCCGAGGAAACUCGGAUUAAUACCGUAUACCUCCUUCGGGAGAAAGAAGGCCUCUCUUUGAAGCUUUCGCUACUAGAUGAGCCUGCGUAAGAUUAGCUUGUUGGUGAGGUAAAGGCUCACCAAGGCUACGAUCUUUAGCGGGUCUGAGAGGACGAUCCGCCACAUUGGGACUGAGACACGGCCCAGACUCCUACGGGAGGCAGCAGUGGGGAAUAUUGGACAAUGGGCGCAAGCCUGAUCCAGCCAUACCGCGUGUGUGAAGAAGGCCUUAGGGUUGUAAAGCACUUUAAGUUGGGAAGAAAGGUUAUUGGCUAAUACCCAAUAACUGUGACAUUACCAUCAGAAUAAGGACCGGCUAAUUCCGUGCCAGCAGCCGCGGUAAUACGGAAGGUCCAAGCGUUAAUCGGAAUUACUGGGCGUAAAGCGCGCGUAGGUGGUUUAUUAAGUUGGAUGUGAAAUCCCCCGGGCUCAACCUGGGAACUGCAUUCAAAACUGGUUCACUAGAGUACGAUAGAGGGAGGUAGAAUUCACAGUGUAGCGGUGGAAU
rnacentral:rRNA from 1 species